rnacentral:rRNA from 1 species
UACAGGGGGGGGCAAGCGUUGUUCGGAAUUACUGGGCGUAAAGGGCUCGUAGGCGGCCAACUAAGUCACACGUGAAAUCCCCAGGCUUAACCUGGGAACUGCGUGUGAUACUGGAUGGCUUGAAUCCGGGAGAGGGAUGCGGAAUUCCAGGUGUAGCGGUGAAAUGCGUAGAUAUCUGGAGGAACACCGGUGGCGAAGGCGGCAUCCUGGACCGGUAUUGACGCUGAUGAGCGAAAGCCAGGGGGAGCAAACGGG